UACGUAGGAGGCAAGCGUUGUCCGGAUUCAUUGGGCGUAAAGGGUGCGUAGGCGGCGCGGUAAGUCGGGUGUGAAAUCUCGGAGCUUAACUCCGAAACUGCAUUCGAUACUGCCGUGCUUGAGGACUGGAGAGGAGACUGGAAUUUACGGUGUAGCGGUGAAAUGCGUAGAUAUCGUAAGGAAGACCAGUGGCGAAGGCGGGUCUCUGGACAGUUCCUGACGCUGAGGAGCGAAAGCGUGGGGAGCGAACAGG
rnacentral:rRNA from 1 species